rnacentral:rRNA from 1 species
UACGUAGGGGGCAAGCGUUGUCCGGAUUUAUUGGGCGUAAAGAGCGUGUAGGCGACCAUACAGGUCCGUUGUGAAAACUGGAGGCUUAACCUUCAGACGUCGACGGAAACCGUAUGGCUAGAGUCCGGAAGAGGAGAGUGGAAUUCCUGGUGUAGCGGUGAAAUGCGCAGAUAUCAGGAAGAACACCAAUGGCGAAGGCAGCUCUCUGGGACGGUACUGACGCUGAGACGCGAAAGCGUGGGGAGCGAACAGG